GUCUCGGUAGCUCAGUUGGUAGAGCGAUGGGCGAAUAUCCCGGAGUCGUAAGUUCGAGUCUCGCCCGAGAUA